rnacentral:sRNA from 1 species
AUCUUCGAUCUGUUGCGGGCAGAUGAAGUGGAUAUGGCUGUCGAAGCCGCCCGCAGUCAGGAUACGUCCUUCGCCAGCUAUGGCCUCGGUACCGGGGCCGAUGAUAAUGUCGACGCUUGGCUGCGUGUCGGGGUUCCCGGCCUUGCCGAUCUUGGCAAUGCGCCCGUCUUUCAGGCCCACAUCGGCCUUAUAGAUGCCGGUAUGAUCCACGAUCAGGGCAUUGGUGAUGACAGUAUCCACGGCACCUUCAGCACGGGUCACCUGUGAUUGCCCCAUGCCGUCGCGGAU